rnacentral:rRNA from 1 species
UACGUAGGGGGCAAGCGUUGUCCGGAAUGACUGGGCGUAAAGGGCGUGUAGGCGGUCAAUUAAGUCUGGAGUGAAAGUCCAGCUUUCAAGGUUGGAAUUGCUUUGGAUACUGGUUGACUUGAGUGCGGAGGAGGUAAGUGGAAUUCCCAGUGUAGCGGUGAAAUGCGUAGAGAUUGGGAGGAACACCAGUGGCGAAGGCGACUUACUGGGCCGUAACUGACGCUGAGGCGCGAAAGCGUGGGGAGCGAAC